rnacentral:rRNA from 1 species
UACGGGGGGGGCAAGCGUUGUUCGGAAUUACUGGGCGUAAAGGGCUCGUAGGCGGCCAACUAAGUCGGAUGUGAAAUCCCCAGGCUUAACUUGGGAACUGCAUCCGAUACUGGAUGGCUUGAAUCCGGGAGAGGGAUGCAGAAUUCCAGGUGUAGCGGUGAAAUGCGUAGAUAUCUGGAGGAACACCGGUGGCGAAGGCGGCAUCCUGGACCAACACUGACACUGAAAAGCGAAAGCCAGGGGAGCAAACGGG